rnacentral:rRNA from 1 species
UACGUAGGGUGCGAGCGUUGUCCGGAAUUAUUGGGCGUAAAGAGCGUGUAGGCGGCCAGGUAGGUCUGGUGUGAAAACUCGAGGCUUAACCUCGAGAUGUCAUCGGAAACCAUUUGGCUAGAGUCCGGAAGAGGAGAGUGGAAUUCCUGGUGUAGCGGUGAAAUGCGCAGAUAUCAGGAAGAACACCAAUGGCGAAAGCAGCUCUCUGGGACGGUACUGACGCUGAGACGCGAAAGCGUGGGGAGCGAACAGG